CCUACGGGGUGCAGCAGUGGGGAAUAUUGCACAAUGGGGGAAACCCUGAUGCAGCGACGCCGCGUGAGCGAUGAAGUAUUUCGGUAUGUAAAGCUCUAUCAGCAGGGAAGAAAAUGACGGUACCUGACUAAGAAGCCCCGGCUAACUACGUGCCAGCAGCCGCGGUAAUACGUAGGGGGCAAGCGUUAUCUGGAUUUACUGGGUGUAAAGGGAGCGUAGACGGCGAUGCAAGCCAGAUGUGAAAGCCCGGGGCUCAACCCCGGGACUGCAUUUGGAACUGUAUAGCUGGAGUGUCGGAGAGGCAAGCGGAAUUCCUAGUGUAGCGGGGAAAUGCGUAGAUAUUAGGAGGAACAGCAGUGGCGAAGGCGGCCUGCUGGACGAUAACUGACGUUGAGGCUCGAAAGCGUGGGGAGCAAACAGGAUUAGAUACCCCUGUAGUC
rnacentral:rRNA from 1 species